GAGGGGACACGGCCUCCACCCUCACAGACCACAGUGAACAUCAGGAGGAGACACGGCCAUGAUGGUUUCACCCAAACAACAGGAACUAGACAACAACAACAGCCUGUAGGAGGAGACACGGCCAUGAUGGUUUCUAAGACUUCACCUGAAGAACAGGAACUUCUCAAGAACACCCUGAAGGAGGAGACUCGGCCAUGAUGGUUUCCAGGACUUCACGUGAAGAGGAG